GACGAACGCUGGCGGCGUGCCUAAUACAUGCAAGUAGAACGCUGAAGGAGGAGCUUGCUUCUCUGGAUGAGUUGCGAACGGGUGAGUAACGCGUAGGUAACCUGCCUGGUAGCGGGGGAUAACUAUUGGAAACGAUAGCUAAUACCGCAUAAGAGUAGAUGUUGCAUGACAUUUGCUUAAAAGGUGCAAUUGCAUCACUACCAGAUGGACCUGCGUUGUAUCAGCUAGUUGGUGGGGUAACGGCUUACCAAGGCGACGAUACAUAGCCGACCUGAGAGGGUGAUCGGCCACACUGGGACUGAGACACGGCCCAGACUCCUACGGGAGGCAGCAGUAGGGAAUCUUCGGCAAUGGACGGAAGUCUGACCGAGCAACGCCGCGUGAGUGAAGAAGGUUUUCGGAUCGUAAAGCUCUGUUGUAAGAGAAGAACGAGUGUGAGAGUGGAAAGUUCACACUGUGACGGUAUCUUACCAGAAAGGGACGGCUAACUACGUG
rnacentral:rRNA from 1 species